rnacentral:rRNA from 1 species
CGAAGGGCUAGCGUUGUUCGGAAUUACUGGGCGUAAAGGGCGCGUAGGCGGUACUUCAAGUCAGGCGUGAAAGCCCCGGGCUCAACCUGGGAACCGCGCUUGAGACUGGAGAACUAGAGUUCGGGAGAGGAUGGUGGAAUUCCCAGUGUAGAGGUGAAAUUCGUAGAUAUUGGGAAGAACACCGAUGGCGAAGGCAGCCAUCUGGACCGACACUGACGCUGAGGCGCGAAAGCGUGGGGAGCAAACAGGAUU